UACGGCCAUAUUACGUUCAAAUACCCGUUCCCGUACGAUCAUCGAAGUUAAGCAACGUUGAGCCUGGUCAUUACCUAGAUGGGUGACCACUUGGAAAUACCAGCUGCUGUA